AAUUGCUGAGCUAUGCUAAUGAGCCUUGUUUGUGACACAAGGUGCUUCGUGGUGGCUCUGUUUGAAAACAUGGAAUUGUAACUCCCCCCGAGGGCACAUACAAUCAGCUUAAAAACACUGCCGUCUGGAUACAGAAAAGAAAUCAUGUAACGGUCCCUUCAGCAUGGCACAUUAUCAAAGGCAUCAUUAACAGCUGCUUCAUGGAAUGGCAGGAGGCUCUCCUGGAUUUGCCACUGAAAAAAAAAACAACAACAACAAUGAAACAACAUUUUCUCUCCACUGCUGCCAGGAAAAUGUCACAAAUAAACAAGGAGACAAAGUGAGAAGCUAACUGGAAAUCGGUAGAGCCAAUAAAGCAAUCACGCUGAGGAGAAGAUGGCGGCUGGAGUGUGGUGGAGAGAGUUUGUUUAUUCUUACCUCUUUCCCUCACCAUGGUGAAGGGAUCCCCCCAGACGCUGACUUUCUCAUCUCACUAGCAUUCCUCCACACCAAAACAAUGGCCACAAUUGAGGUGACUGUCUAUCUAAAACCACCUGGGUUCUGUAUGCUGUGAUGUGUCCAUGUGGAACGGCCCAACAUCCCUAGAGUUGGUUGCACGUCUCAGUAGAAAACAGCAAGAUGUUUAAAAUUUCUCAGGGUUUCUGGACAAUAUCAGAAAUGCUGAAAUGAACACAUUAAAGUGUUUGUUAUAUUUCAAGAAGGCUGAGACUCCAUCUCUAUAGUUCUGACAGCUACGGUUGCUGAAACUACACUAAGAAGCAUUUUCAAC
ensembl:lncRNA